rnacentral:rRNA from 1 species
UACGUAGGUGGCAAGCGUUGUCCGGAAUUAUUGGGCGUAAAGCGCGCGCAGGCGGUCCUUUAAGUCUGAUGUGAAAUCUCGCGGCUCAACCGCGAGCGGUCAUUGGAAACUGGGGGACUUGAGUGCAGAAGAGGAAAGUGGAAUUCCACGUGUAGCGGUGAAAUGCGUAGAGAUGUGGAGGAACACCAGUGGCGAAGGCGACUUUCUGGUCUGUAACUGACGCUGAGGCGCGAAAGCGUGGGGGAGCAAACAGG